UGGGGAAUAUUGGACAAUGGGCGCAAGCCUGAUCCAGCAAUGCCGCGUGUGUGAAGAAGGCCUUCGGGUUGUAAAGCACUUUUAUCAGGAGCGAAACGCUGUCGGCUAAUACCCGGCGGAACUGACGGUACCUGAGGAAUAAGCACCGGCUAACUUCGUGCCAGCAGCCGCGGUAAUACGAAGGGUGCAAGCGUUAAUCGGAAUUACUGGGCGUAAAGCGUGCGUAGGCGGUUUCUUAAGUCUGCUGUGAAAUCCCCGGGCUCAACCUGGGAAUGGCAGUGGAUACUGGGAGGCUAGAGUGUGUCAGAGGGUGGUGGAAUUCCCGGUGUAGCGGUGAAAUGCGUAGAGAUCGGGAGGAACAUCAGUGGCGAAGGCGGCCACCUGGGACAACACUGACGCUGAGGCACGAAAGCGUGGGGAGCAAACAGGAUUAGAUACCCUGGUAGUCCACGCCCUAAAGCGAUGCGAACUGGAUGUUGUCUCAACUCGGAGAUCAGUGUCGAAGCUAACGCGUUAAGUUCGCCGCCUGGGGAGUACGGUCGCAAGACUGAAACUCAAAUGAAUU
rnacentral:rRNA from 1 species